rnacentral:rRNA from 1 species
GGCGAUGAAGGACGUACUAGACUGCGAUAAGCUACGGGGAGCUGUCAAGAAGCUUUGAUCCGUAGAUUUCCGAAUGGGGCAACCCAAUGUAUAGAGAUAUACAUUACCUAUAUAGGAGCGAACGAGGGGAAUUGAAACAUCUUAGUACCCUCAGGAAAAGAAAUCAAUAGAGAUUGCGUCAGUAGCGGCGAGCGAAAGCGCAAGAGGGCAAACCCAGUGCUUGCACUGGGGGUUGUAGGACUGCAAUGUGCAAGAGGUAAGUUUAGCAGAACAUUCUGGAAAGUAUAACCAUAGAGGGUGAUAGUCCCGUAUGCGAAAAACAAACCUUAGCUAGCAGUAUCCUGAGUAGGGCGGGACACGAGGAAUCCUGUCUGAAUCCGGGUCGACCACGAUCCAACCCUAAAUACUAAUACCAGAUCGAUAGUGCACAAGUACCGUGAGGGAAAGGUGAAAAGAACUGAGGUGAUCAGAGUGAAAUAGAACCUGAAACCAUUUGCUUACAAUCAUUCAGAGCCCUAUGUAGCAAUACAGGGUGAUGGACUGCCUUUUGCAUAAUGAGCCUGCGAGUUGUGGUGUCUGGCAAGGUUAAGCAAACGCGAAGCCGUAGCGAAAGCGAGUCUGAAUAGGGCGCUUAGUCAGAUGCUGCAGACCCGAAACGAAGUGAUCUAUCCAUGAGCAAGUUGAAGCUAGUGUAAGAACUAGUGGAGGACUGAACCCAUAGGCGUUGAAAAGCCCCGGGAUGACUUGUGGAUAGGGGUGAAAGGCCAAUCAAACUUCGUGAUAGCUGGUUCUCUCCGAAAUAUAUUUAGGUAUAGCGUUGUGUCGUAAUAUAAGGGGGUAGAGCACUGAAUGGGCUAGGGCAUACACCAAUGUACCAAACCCUAUCAAACUCCGAAUACCUUAUAUGUAAUCACAGCAGUCAGGCGGCGAGUGAUAAAAUCCGUCGUCAAGAGGGAAACAACCCAGACUACCAGCUAAGGUCCCUAAAUCUUACUUAAGUGGAAAACGAUGUGAAGUUACUUAAACAACCAGGAGGUUGGCUUAGAAGCAGCCAUCCUUUAAAGAAAGCGUAAUAGCUCACUGGUCUAGUGAUUUUGCGCGGAAAAUAUAACGGGGCUAAAGUAAGUACCGAAGCUGUAGACUUAGUUUACUAAGUGGUAGGAGAGCGUUCUAUUUGCGUCGAAGGUAUACCGGUAAGGAGUGCUGGAGCGAAUAGAAGUGAGCAUGCAGGCAUGAGUAGCGAUAAUUAAUGUGAGAAUCAUUAACGCCGUAAACCCAAGGUUUCCUACGCGAUGCUCGUCAUCGUAGGGUUAGUCGGGUCCUAAGUCGAGUCCGAAAGGGGUAGACGAUGGCAAAUUGGUUAAUAUUCCAAUACCAACAUUAGUGUGCGAUGGAAGGACGCUUAGGGCUAAGGGGGCUAGCGGAUGGAAGUGCUAGUCUAAGGUCGUAGGAGGUUAUACAGGCAAAUCCGUAUAACAAUACUCCGAGAACUGAAAGGCUUUUUGAAGUCUUCGGAUGGAUAGAAGAACCCCUGAUGCCGUCGAGCCAAGAAAAGUUUCUAAGUUUAGCUAAUGUUGCCCGUACCGUAAACCGACACAGGUGGGUGGGAUGAGUAUUCUAAGGCGCGUGGAAGAACUCUCUUUAAGGAACUCUGCAAAAUAGCACCGUAUCU